rnacentral:rRNA from 1 species
UACGUAGGGUCCAAGCGUUGUCCGGAAUUAUUGGGCGUAAAGAGCUCGUAGGCGGUCUGUUGCGUCGGCUGUGAAAACCCGGGGCUCAACUCCGGGCCUGCAGCCGAUACGGGCAGACUAGAGUUCGGCAGGGGAGACUGGAAUUCCUGGUGUAGCGGUGAAAUGCGCAGAUAUCAGGAGGAACACCGGUGGCGAAGGCGGGUCUCUGGGCCGAUACUGACGCUGAGGAGCGAAAGCGUGGGGAGCGAACAGG